GAAUUUAGUCCCAUCCCAUUUCUGAGUUAUUGCCAAAGAUCUUGAGGCAAGAAAAAAAAAGAGCAGAUUGUUCACGUAGGCAAAAAUUUCUUUGUGUCUGUUCUUGAACUCUGGAUAAUGUGCAAAUUGAGUAGCUGCCAGAAUCAACGGGUCAUUGAAACACAGGUUCUCCACAGGAGAAGGUGCUUUCUAAGUCCCCUUCUCUUCACUCUGAUGACCCACGAUUGUUGUGCAAAGUUCAGCACAAACCACAUGGUAAUGUAUGAGGAUGACAUCGCAAUGGUGAGUCUCAUUCAAAGUGAUGAGGAGGAGGACUAAAGAGAAGAGAUGAAGUCUUUUUGUGAAAUGAUGCAAUCUGAUCCUGAAUGUGGAAAACUGGUGAUGGUGAUCAACUUAAGGAACAAACAGCCAGUGCACACCAUGGUUUCCAUUAUGGACACUGCAGAAGAGGGCUGCACAGUGGUGUAGUAGUUACCACUUUCACCUUGCAGCAAGAAGAUCCUCGGUUCUAAUCCCGGCCUGGGCCUGGGAUCUUUCUGCAUGGAGUUUGCAUGUUCUCCCUGUGCAUGUGUGGCCAGAUGGUUUCUCCCUCCUAGCCACUGUGUGGCACUGCGUUAUGUCAAUCGUUGCUGUGACAGCGGGGUGGUAUCCGGCGCCGCUGCAUAUAUAUUUACACAGGUGGGUGGCUUCACCUCAGUCUCAUGCUUUCUCUUGAGCUCUCCCCGUGGUGGUAACCGCAGCCGAGCGGGCUGGAUCCGGCGUGAUCAAUCGGGACGCACAUAUCAUUGGUACAGUGACGCUGGGAGACGGGUCGCUCCGUUCAGCGUGCCGUGGGUGCUUCUGUGACGACAGGGUAAGCUAUGCGGUCCACAUUAUGUGAUCUGAUGUGUCAACUGGUCCCUGAUUUUGUGUGGUUGCUGCAGUUUAUUUGCUGCUGCUGUCGUUGGAUCUCCUCCUCCUGCAUUGCUUCUACGCUGCGCCACAGCUAACCGGGUUGCAGCUAAACGUGUGGUUCAUUGGACGUCAUCGUUCCCUGGACUGGCUGCUGUCUCGGCUGUUUCGGUUCUUUCUUUCUUUUCGCCGGCUCUUGGUUGCGGCUCUUGUUCUCGGUCUGUUUGCCGGCUCUGUGAUUGGUGCCGACAACUUGCUGUGUUUGACUGUGUUGGUGUGUAUUUUCCAUUAGGUUUACCGCCAACGUGUGUAGAGUUACUGCAUUGUACUUUUUCUGUUAAAAACCUCAGGCUAUGAGGAUUAUCACGCCUCAUACGUCACCUGUGUUUUAAAAGUUAUUGUGUGGAGUGAGUGAGUGAGUGAGUGUGCGUGUGUGUUUUUACUGUGUAUAUUGGUCUGGUCACCAGCACUGCUAAAUCAGGAGUACUAAUUAUUUGUUUCUUUUGUGCAGGUUUGGUGAGCCUCGGCGGCAGUUUAAUCCCUGGUGGUGGUUCACGGAUCCCUUUUUCGUUGGUGUGUUGUCACAGGUGUGAUUAUUUGGACCCCCUUUUUCUUCUUUUUGGUUAUUUGUUUGCCUGCCGCCAUGGUAAGCCAGCCUGCUCCCUUUAUUGUUUAAGUUUAGUACUCCUGAUUCUCUCUUUUAAACUGGUGGCUUGCUUUUUAUAUUUAAUGUCAUAAUUAAUAAAGAAAUUGUUGUAUUUUUGGAAA